GAUGAACGCUGGCGGCGUGCCUAAUACAUGCAAGUCGAGCGAACAGACGAGGAGCUUGCUCCUCUGACGUUAGCGGCGGACGGGUGAGUAACACGUGGAUAACCUACCUAUAAGACUGGGAUAACUUCGGGAAACCGGAGCUAAUACCGGAUAAUAUAUUGAACCGCAUGGUUCAAUAGUGAAAGACGGUUUUGCUGUCACUUAUAGCUGGAUCCGCGCCGCAUUAGCUAGUUGGUAAGGUAACGGCUUACCAAGGCAACGAUGCGUAGCCGACCUGAGAGGGUGAUCGGCCACACUGGAACUGAGACACGGCCCAGACUCCUACGGGAGGCAGCAGUAGGGAAUCUGCCGCAAUGGGCGAAAGCCUGACGGAGCAACGCCGCGUGAGUGAUGAAGGUCUUCGGAGCGUAAAACUCUGUUAUUAGGGAAGAACAAAUGUGUAAGUAACUAUGCACGUCUUGACGGUACCUAAUCAGAAAGCCACGGCUAACUACGUG
rnacentral:rRNA from 1 species